UAAUAUGUUCUAUAGCAGAGUUAUUAAUGGCUUCGGUUUGAUUUGUUGUAUGGACGGCUAUUACGAUAAUCGUAUUUUCAAGGCUUCGUUGCACCCUAUUUGUUUAAGCGAAUAGUUAAGAUUUAACUUACAAUAUACUGAUCGUUUUAAAAUCUACAUAUUCAAUGAAUGUUCAACAAAAUUACAUCUUACACCCUUCAGUAAUCACACAUAUUUAAAUAUAUAACUCCAAGCAAUCAAAUAAAACUCAAAGCUAUGUAAAUUUAACAUCAAAUUGAAAACAUGUGUCUUGCCGGAACGUUGCACAAUGUUUUUUAUUGUUUCUACCUUAUAGACAGAUGAAAUAUCUUUUUGACAAAAAUUAAACCGUUCCAAUGCGAUAUUUACGGAAAACAAUAUGACAGUAAAUAGCACAUGCUAGCAAAAUAAAACAUACACGGCAACGACUUACCUCGACAUUACAUGCAGAUUGAACUUGACUAUAGAACUAGAACGAACCAAUGUAACACAAUUACCAAAUCAUUAAAAACAACUAAUUUUGUUGAAUAUAGUUUUAAUAUUCACAUCUGCAGGUAUGU